rnacentral:rRNA from 1 species
UACGUAGGGUGCGAGCGUUAAUCGGAAUUACUGGGCGUAAAGCGUGCGCAGGCGGUUUUGUAAGCCAGAUGUGAAAUCCCCGGGCUUAACCUGGGAAUGGCAUUUGGGACUGCAAGGCUGGAGUGUGGCAGAGGGGGGUAGAAUUCCACGUGUAGCAGUGAAAUGCGUAGAGAUGUGGAGGAAUACCGAUGGCGAAGGCAGCCCCCUGGGCCAAUACUGACGCUCAUGCACGAAAGCGUGGGGAGCAAACAGG